AAAGUGCGAAAAGUGAUGCGAUUUGCAUAAACUGUGAGUCAUUCAGUCUUUGAACGCAACUUGCGCCGUGAGGCAUGUCUCGCUGAGCAUGGGGUUAUGUGUAUUUGGCUGGUGUGUAUCGGCUCAAACAAAGCAUUACGUUGGUGUACCAGAGACGCAAGUCUUGUCACCACUAAUCCAACCCACCCAUCUCAGCUGAGGCAAGAUCACCCGCUGAACUUAA
rnacentral:misc_RNA from 1 species